CGAGACGGCGACGUUAAGCAAAUCCCAGAAAUAACGUCCCAGUUCGGAUUGUAGUCUGCAACCCGACUACAUGAAGCUGGAAUCGCUAGUAAUCGCGGAUCAGAAUGCCGCGGUGAAUACGUUCCCGGGUCUUGUACACACCGCCCGUCACACCAUGGGAGUCGGAAAUGCCCGAAGUCAGUGACCCAACCGUAAGGAGGGAGCUGCCGAAGGUGGAGCCGGUAACUGGGGUGAAGUCGUAACAAGGUAUC
rnacentral:rRNA from 1 species